rnacentral:rRNA from 1 species
CCUACGGGUGGCAGCAGUGGGGAAUAUUGCACAAUGGGCGAGACCCUGAUGCAGCGACGCCGCGUGAGUGAAGAAGUAAUUCGUUAUGUAAAGCUCUAUUAGCAGGGAAGAAAAUGACGUUACCUGAGUGAGAAGCCCCGGCUAACUACGUACCAGCAACCGCGGUAAUCCGUAGGGGACAAGCGUUAUCCGGAUUUACUUGGUGUAAAGGGAGGGUAGAGGGUAAUGCAAGUCUGGAGGGAAAGGCGGGGGCUCAAACCCCGUACUGCUCUGGAAACUGUACUGCUGGAGUGCAGGAGAGGUAAGUGGAAUGCCUAGUGUAGCGGUGAAAUGCGUAGAUAUUAGGCAGAACACCAAUGGCGAAGGCGGCUUACUGGACUGUAACUGACGUUGAGGCUCGAAAGCGUGGGGAGCGAACAGGAUUAGAUACCCCAGUAGUC